GUUGUCGUAGUGACAUAUGGUUUGUGGAUGCUACUUGUUUGAUCCCGACCAUUGCUUCUUUCUCACUAGGCUAUUCCUGGCAGGACUAUCGUGAAAGACAAAUGGCAGCUAUAUCACAUGAUUCAGUAUGGCAAGUGCAGUUUACUGGCUUCCGAUUCAAGAUUUGGAUUUUGGAACAAAGAAGUUAGAGUAUCCUGUAGAUAGUAUCCUUGUGUUCAAGCAGAAGAAAAAUGCAAUUUCUGUUGGUUGAAUUAUAACUUCCAAAUUUACACAUCGUGAAAUACAAAGAUGGAUGGCUGCUCUUUAUGAUUGAGUUCGUGCAAAAGAUCAAACAUGGCAGCUGGGUGGCUUCAUUAUAUGGAUGAUCCUUGACCCAUGUGAUCAUUAUAAGAUUUUGAUGGUAAUCAACUUCUCAAUGAUGAAGACAGUGAUCUGGAUGCUUGCAACAAAAAAAGUCUGGAGGAGCAUCUAAAUAAGCCAAAGUUACUAUAGCGGUGCAAGCCAUGCAGGGUCUUCUAAUGGUCCUGCUCGUGUGGAAUAAGAAUGUGGAGAAGCCUCUAAUGGCAAUGAAGGAACUUCCGGUGAUGAAGAAACUGCAGCAUGACCAGUCAUGCAAUCUUACAAAAUCAAAGACAGUCAAGCAACUCCUGAACUGAAUAAUUCUUUAGAUGAGGUUAGCUCAGCAGGUCUGAUCGGUGAGACGACGACGCAAUA